GUCAAGUAUGGCUGCUCCCGCAGAAAGCAUGACUGAGGAAAACCCGGAGGAUGUUCCUCUGGAGAAAACAUACACCGUCGAGGUACUCCAGUUAGUGAGAGAAGCACAACAGCAACAUGGGUUGAGGCACGGUGAUUUUCAAAGAUACAGGAGCUACUGUUCCAGAAGAAUCAGGAGAAUUAGGAAGUCCUUACAUUUUCCUCAGGGAAACAAACAUAAAGUCCAACCAAAGAAAAUAACAGUAGAAAAACUGACCGAUGUCAGGUACCUACACCUUCCAUUGUUUUGUGCUGAGAGAGCGUGGUAUUAUGCCAUGCAGUUGAAAUCCGAGGCCAACACAGAGCCCCGGAAAAGGUUCCACAUGUUGGCCCGCGUAAGGAAGGCCCUGGUGUAUGCCGAGGAGUUCACUGGUCUCUGUGAGAGUUCUAAAUGUGACGCCAGGACCAAGCUAGAGAGUCAGGUCAGUUUACUUAAAGAUCAGAAACGUUGUGCUGAAGUUAAACAUUGCGAUGAUGAACAUACUGUUAUGAGGCCUAUGUACAAUGCGUUUUUCACAGGCAUAUUUAUCCCUGAUGAAAGGAGGAUUGUAUUUUGAACAAGAAGACUGGAAGGCAGCAAUGGAAUACUACACAAAGGCAAAAACUAUCUAUGAGAAGUUGGGAAGUGCUUUCUCAGAAGAUAUUCAGCAGCUGUAUCUUCAACAAGUUGAGGAAAUCACGCCCAACUUAAGGUACUGUGCUUACAAUAUUGGAGACCAGUCUGCCAUUGAUGAACUGAGGCAACUCAGAAGGAAAGGCGGAGAGGAUCAACUGACAUCUCAUCUAGAUGAUCUGCUUUCUCAAACGAGAGAGAAACAGACAGCCACACUGUCUGAGGUGAAGUGGCAGGGCCGCACUGUACAGGUGAAGAAUGAACCGGUGCGGCUGUUUCUGUUGAAUUUACAGGAUAGCACCAAAGAAAUAGAGUCUGCUGAAGGCAUAGACAGCAAGAUAUCUAUUUAUGAGAGUUUGUUGAAACAGUGUAUCGAUGCCCAGCAAGUUCUGAGGGACACGCUGCAGGAUGAUCAGAACUUCAAAUUAGCUAUUAGGGGACAAGAGAUAGAAGGUAAAAUUUCCAAUCAGCACUACCUGCAUACCUACCUGACCUUUAUAAGGCUGAGUAAGACCGUGGAACGUAACCUGCUGCUGAUAGAGACCAUGAAAGAUUACCUGCCAGGUAAAAAGGUGGAGGAGGGCCACAAGAUCACCAAACCCCAGGACCUAGUCCGACUCUACGACAUCAUUAUACAAAAUUUGAAUGAGAUCCCUAAUCUGACGGGGUUAGACGUAGGUGGCAGUCUAUCCGAGGAAACAGCUGUCAGAGUCCUAGGAUUCAAAGCAUUUAGGUCGUACUACAUUGCUCAGUCCUAUCUGGGAGCCAAGAAGUGGAAGGAGACAAUAUCCCUGUAUGAGAGAGUGCUACAGAACGCACAGAGUGCCUUGAAGGGCUACAGGUCACUCCCGAAACCUCAACAGGCCCAGUUCAAGGUGGAGAUGAGUAAUUUAGAAGAUCUGAUCCACACUGUGGACGGAGAGAAAUACUCUUGUCAUGCCACCAGUGUUUUGGACAUCAACCACGUGACGGAUCAGAUGGGAGCCAUUACAGUCAACCCAAAAAUGCCGCUGAUUGAGCGUUUGGAGGACUAUGCCGAGGACUCCUCCCUGACCAGCAAAAAACCCAACCUGGUGUCCUUCCCGCCGGACUUUGAACCCAUUCCCUGCCGCCCCUUGUUCUUUGACCUAGCCCUGAAUCAUAUAGACUUACCUUCUCUAGAGGAACACUUGGAACAGAAACAGAAAGCGGCCAACCCCAAGGGCCUCACAGGGUUCGUCAAGGGAUGGCUCUGGGGAGGGUCCAAAUAACUGUUUUAUUAGGAAAUUAACCAAUUUUUUUAUACAUUGUGCAUUGAUUAGGGAAGAUAACUCUGUAAGCUGUGUUCAGUAGUUUUACAGAGUGGAAAUAUUUAUUUUGGCUCACAACAUUUUGUAUCAUUGUUUUGAAGCCAUUAUUGAAAUUAUGUUGUAAAAUUGAUAAAGUAGACAACAAUUUAAACUGUCAUAUAGAUUCAUUUUAAAAUACCAUUUGUUUCAAAGUGCAAUUUCCUUGUAAUCCUUUUCAUGAAAUACAUCUGUACAGUAAUUCAUUCUAUAAAUGGAUAUGGUGAUGUUGUUGACGAGUUGUGUAUCUGUUGAUAUGAUAUUCUUCUGAUUCACUUGUCUCAGAAGAUUCUAAUAACAAACAUUUGAUGAUUUUGUGAAAUAAAAGAGUAAUUCAGAGUU
rnacentral:misc_RNA from 1 species